rnacentral:rRNA from 1 species
AUUGGACGCUGGCGGCAGGCCUAACACAUGCAAGUCGAACGGUAGCACAGAGAGCUUGCUCUCGGGUGACGAGUGGCGGACGGGUGAGUAACGUCUGGGAAACUGCCCGAUGGAGGGGGAUAACUACUGGAAACGGUAGCUAAUACCGCAUAACGUCGCAAGACCAAAGUGGGGGACCUUCGGGCCUCACACCAUCGGAUGUGCCCAGAUGGGGUUAGCUAGUAGGUGGGGUAAUGGCUCACCUAGGCGACGAUACCUAGCUGGUCUGAGAGGAGGACCAGCCAACCUGGAACUGGGACACGGUCCAGACUCCUACGGGAGGCAGCAGUGGGGAAUAUUGCACAAUGGGCGCAAGCCUGAUGCAGCCAUGCCGCGUGUAUGAAGAAGGCCUUCGGGUUGUAAAGUACUUUCAGCGGGGAGGAAGGCGGUGAAGUUAAUAGCUUCACCGAUUGACGUUACCCGCAGAAGAAGCACCGGCUAACUCCGUGCCAGCCGCCGCGGUAA